rnacentral:rRNA from 1 species
GACGAACGCUGGCGGCGUGCUUAACACAUGCAAGUCGAGCGGUAAGGCCCUUUCGGGGUACGACGAGCGGCGAACGGGUGAGUAACACGUGGGUGACCUGCCUCAGCUCUGGGAGUAAGCCUGGGAAACCGGGUACUAAUACUGGAUAUGACUCCAUGACGCAUGUUGUGGGGUGGAAAGCCUUGUGCGGCUGAGGAUGGGCCCGCGGCCUAUCAGCUUGUUGGUGGGGUGAUGGCCUACCAAGGCGACGACGGGUAGCCGGCCU